AUGAAAAAGGAUCUUGUCUGUCAAACAGGGCUUCACGGCAUCCUUCAGCUGAAGUUAACUAAAGUUAACAGACAGUAUGGCGCAUGGCUUCUGAGCAAGAUUGAUGUUGAUUCAUGUGCCAUCGUAGCUGAUCUUCAUAAAGUGACCCCCUUCUCUGCGAGGGACGUUAAUUCAGUCUUGGGUGUACCAUGCAGCGGGAGAACCAUUGAGACCUGUAACCAAGAUGAGGUAGAACGGAAUAAGAGGAUUCUUUGUGAUAUUUUUGAGGUUCCACACUUUUCACAGGUUACUGUUAAGUUUUUGGAGGCAAUUCUUAAUAAACAAUAUUCAUAUCCGAUGAGCUUAAAGGACCAACGAUCGUUCAAGGCGGCAUUUGUCCUUUAUGUCAUGACAAAGUUCUUGGCUCCGCAAUCACUAGCAAACUACAUUUCCACAAGGUAUAUCAGCGCAGUAGCUGAUAUUGACAAUAUCUCGUCAUACAACUGGGCACAGUUCAUCGUCGACGACCUCAUGAAUUCUGCCAGCUUGAUGCCCAAACGAUUUCAUAAUUCUUCUCAAGUAUCAAUUAACGGGUGUAUACUAUUCCUCCAGGUGUGUGUUCACAUUAUAAUCACAUUUUCCUUCGUACGACCCUGCACUAUUACACACCAUGUACCUAAUUGCAGAUAG
rnacentral:rRNA from 1 species